rnacentral:rRNA from 1 species
UGGGGAAUAUUGCACAAUGGGCGCAAGCCUGAUGCAGCGACACCGCGUGAGGGAUGACGGCCUUCGGGUUGUAAACCUCUUUCAGCAGGGACGAAGCGCAAGUGACGGUACCUGCAGAAGAAGCACCGGCCAACUACGUGCCAGCAGCCGCGGUAAUACGUAGGGUGCGAGCGUUGUCCGGAAUUACUGGGCGUAAAGAGCUCGUAGGCGGUUUGUCGCGUCGUCUGUGAAAUUCUGCAGCUUAACUGCAGGCGUGCAGGCGAUACGGGCAGACUUGAGUACUACAGGGGAGACUGGAAUUCCUGGUGUAGCGGUGAAAUGCGCAGAUAUCAGGAGGAACACCGGUGGCGAAGGCGGGUCUCUGGGUAGUAACUGACGCUGAGGAGCGAAAGCGUGGGUAGCGAACAGGAUUAGAUACCCUGGUAGUCCACGCCGUAAACGGUGGGUACUAGGUGUGGGUUCCAUUUCACGGGAUCCGUGCCGUAGCUAACGCAUUAAGUACCCCGCCUGGGGAGUACGGCCGCAAGGCUAAAACUCAAAUGAAUUGACGGGGUCAUAGCUGUUUCCCU